rnacentral:rRNA from 1 species
AUUGAACGCUGGCGGCAUGCCUUACACAUGCAAGUCGAACGGUAACGCGGGGCAACCUGGCGACGAGUGGCGAACGGGUGAGUAAUGCAUCGGAACGUGCCCAGUAGUGGGGGAUAGCCCGGCGAAAGCCGGAUUAAUACCGCAUACGACCUACGGGUGAAAGAGGGGGACCGUAAGUCCUCGCGCGAUUGGACCGGCUGAUGGCAGAUUAGGUUGUUGGUGGGGUAAAAGCCUACCAAGCCGACGAUCUGUAGCUGGUCUGAGAGGGCGACCAGCCACACUGGGACUGAGACACGGCCCAGACUCCUACGGGAGGCAGCAGUGGGGAAUUUUGGACAAUGGGGGCAACCCUGAUCCAGCCAUGCCGCGUGCGGGAAGAAGGCCUUCGGGUUGUAAACCGCUUUUGUCAGGGAAGAAACGCUCUGGGCUAAUACCCCGGGGUAAUGACGGUACCUGAAGAAUAAGCACCGGCUAACUACGUGCCAGCCGCCGCCGUAAGAC